UGCCUAAUACAUGCAAGUCGAGCGAACAGACGAGGAGCUUGCUCCUCUGACGUUAGCGGCGGACGGGUGAGUAACACGUGGAUAACCUACCUAUAAGACUGGGAUAACUUCGGGAAACCGGAGCUAAUACCGGAUAAUAUAUUGAACCGCAUGGUUCAAUAGUGAAAGACGGUUUUGCUGUCACUUAUAGAUGGAUCCGCGCCGCAUUAGCUAGUUGGUAAGGUAACGGCUUACCAAGGCAACGAUGCGUAGCCGACCUGAGAGGGUGAUCGGCCACACUGGAACUGAGACACGGUCCAGACUCCUACGGGAGGCAGCAGUAGGGAAUCUUCCGCAAUGGGCGAAAGCCUGACGGAGCAACGCCGCGUGAGUGAUGAAGGUCUUCGGAUCGUAAAACUCUGUUAUUAGGGAAGAACAAAUGUGUAAGUAACUAUGCACGUCUUGACGGUACCUAAUCAGAAAGCCACGGCUAACUACGUGCCAGCAGCCGCGGUAAUACGUAGGUGGCAAGCGUUAUCCGGAAUUAUUGGGCGUAAAGCGCGCGUAGGCGGUUUUUUAAGUCUGAUGUGAAAGCCCACGGCUCAACCGUGGAGGGUCAUUGGAAACUGGAAAACUUGAGUGCAGAAGAGGAAAGUGGAAUUCCAUGUGUAGCGGUGAAAUGCGCAGAGAUAUGGAGGAACACCAGUGGCGAAGGCGACUUUCUGGUCUGUAACUGACGCUGAUGUGCGAAAGCGUGGGGAUCAAACAGGAUUAGAUACCCUGGUAGUCCACGCCGUAAACGAUGAGUGCUAAGUGUUAGG
rnacentral:rRNA from 1 species